rnacentral:rRNA from 1 species
GAACGAUUCGUUAAUACCGCAUGCCGUCCGGAUGGGACAUCCUGUCUGGACCAAAGGAGAAAUCCGCUGAGAGAUGGGCUCGCGUCCAAUUAGCUGGUUGGCGGGGUAAAGGCCCACCAAGGCGACGAUUGGUAGCCGGACUGAGAGGUUGAACGGCCACAUUGGGACUGAGACACGGCCCAGACUCCUACGGGAGGCAGCAGUGGGGAAUAUUGCACAAUGGGGGGAACCCUGAUGCAGCGACGCCGCGUGAGGGAAGAAGGUUUUCGGAUUGUAAACCUCUGUCCUCUGUGACGAUAAUGACGGUAGCAGAGGAGGAAGCCACGGCUAACUACGUGCCAGCAGCCGCGGUAAUACGUAGGUGGCGAGCGUUAUCCGGAAUUACUGGGUGUAAAGGGAGCGUAGGCGGGGGAACAAGUUGAAUGUUUAAGAUAUGGGCUCAACUCAUAUAAGCGUUCAAAACUGUUUUUCUUGAGUGAAGUAGAGGUAAGCGGAAUUCCUAGUGUAGCGGUGGAAUGCGUAAAUAUUAGGAGGAACACCAGUGGCGAAGGCGGCUUACUGGGCUUUAACUGACGCUGAGGCUCGAAAGCGUGGGUAGCAAACAGGAUUAGAUACCCUGGUAGUCC